rnacentral:rRNA from 1 species
GACGAACGCUGGCGGCGUGCCUAAUACAUGCAAGUCGAACGAAGCUGUUUUAACUGGUGCUUGCACCGACUUAAAUAACUGAGUGGCUAACGGGUGAGUAACACGUGGGUAACCUGCCCCAAAGCGGGGGAUAACAUUUGGAAACAGAUGCUAAUACCGCAUAACCACAGAAACCACAUGGUUUCUGUGUCAAAGAUGGUUUCGGCUAUCACUUCGGGAUGGACCCGCGGCGUAUUAGCUAGUUGGUAAGGUAAUGGCUUACCAAGGCAAUGAUACGUAGCCGAACUGAGAGGUUGAUCGGCCACAUUGGGACUGAGACACGGCCCAAACUCCUACGGGAGGCAGCAGUAGGGAAUCUUCCACAAUGGACGAAAGUCUGAUGGAGCAACGCCGCGUGAGUGAAGAAGGUUUUCGGAUCGUAAAACUCUGUUGUCAGAGAAGAACGUGUGCGAGAGUAACUGCUCGUGCAGUGACGGUAUCUGGCCAGAAAGCCACGGCUAACUACGUGCCAGCCGCCGCGGUAA